UAUUUUUUUUAGAUUUUUUUACGAUUUCGUACGAUUCUUGAAUCGUAAUUUUCGCCAUUUUUUUACGUCCAUCGUCCAUGCCGACGUAUGCGUGUCGAUUUUUCAGAUAGAUUUGUUUGGUUUUGGAUAUGCAUUUAAUUUCUGGUGGCAUUUCGUAAUUUGUUAUAUUCCGAUGUACAGAGAGCCAAGCCGGAUUUAUUUAUUUUAAGGGAACGUGCACCCUGGGUGGCAUCGAUACAGGUACCUAAAUGUUAAUUAUUGCAUGGGUAAAAAUUCUAUGAAAAUCGGUGGCAUCCUUUAUGCAUAGCAUUACUCCUUGGUCGGCCUCACUUUGUCGUUUAGCACGUGUGCACAAGAAAUUUGUAAAAGUUGCGAAAUGGACAUGGAAUUUAUGAAUAAGUAAAAAAAAAAGUGUUAAUUUUUCCAUACUGCGUUUCAUUCAAGAUAAGUGAAGCUGAAAGAAUUGAAAUUAUGUUUUAAAAAGUUGGGAAGUUGUGGAAAUUUAAAUUUUUGAGAGAGUAUUUUUUUUUGUUAAAAUAAAUGUAUUUCAAAUUUUAAAAGUUGACUAAAUUGUUAGAUUGAAACGCCAACAAAAAAAAUUGUGAUUUUCUUUAGGGGAAAUUACUACCAGAUUUUUUGAGAGGACAAGCCGAAUCUUUUUUUAUUAUUAUGUUUUUUCAAAGUUGGGAACUUGUGGAAAUAUACAUUUUUGAAAGUAAUUUUUAUUCAAAUAUUUUUUGCUAAGGAGAGUACAAAUAUAUUUUAAAUUUUAAAAGUUGACUAAAUUGUCGGAUUAAAACGCCAACAAAAAAAAAUUUGUGAUUUGUUUUAGGAAAAGCAAAUAGCAAAUUCUCUGGGAAGAUAACUUAAAUUUUUAAAUUUAAAUUUUUAAUGCGUAAAACAGUAAGAUUAAUUAAUUCAGUAAAACAAAAAUAUCAACUAUUCUCCAAAAAAAUGAGAUAAAUUUACUAGAAAUGUGACCACUUUGACGUUGAUUCUUGCCAAACUUGGGGGAUUUUGAUGUUUGAGAAAAAUUAGUAUAGUUGAAAAUGUACCUUAAAAUAAUGAAAUUUGAACGAAUUUUUUAAAAAUUUAGUAUUAAAAAUAAAACCAGGGCUAGAUGAAUCUGGAUGAAACUAUUUAGCAAAUAGAUAUUUAGGUUGAACAAAUUUGGCGUUAAUGCAAUGCAAAACUUGCAAUAAACUGAAAAACGAUUCCGGAGAAAGUAAAAUUUCCGGAAAGUAUGAAAUGUUUCAAUUGUUUAUUCAUCCCGUUAUUUUUUUAGGAAUCGAUACAUGUACCAAGAGAUUUACGAAAAUAUAUACACAUUAAUUAACAUAAUUAGAAAUUUGUAUACUUCUGCAGAAAACAAAACUUAAUUAAUAAUCACGAAUCAACAGGACGAGGAUACAAAGAUAUCACAUGAUAAGUAUUUAUCUAGGUCAAUAAUUCAUGUAGAAAAAAAGAGGAAAUUUUUCAUAUUUUGAAAAUCUUGGGCAUC